GUGCACCAGUCGCGAAAACUCCGCAAUACGCGAAAGCGUGACGGGGCUACCCCGAGUGUCGUCCGCUGAGGACGACUUUUCCACGCUGUAAGGAGGCGUGGGAAUAAGGAGAGGGCAAGUCUGGUGUCAGCCGCCGCGGUAAUACCAGCUCUCCGAGUGGUAGGGACGAUUAUUGGGUCUGAAGCGUCCGUAGCCGGCCGGAAAAGUUCCCCGUUAAAUCUGGCGAUCCAAUCGUUGGGCUGCGGGGGAUACUCUUCGGCUGGGGGGCGAGGGAGGUCGGCGGUAGUCCCGGGGUAGGGGCGAAAUCCUAUAAUCCCGGGAGGACCACCAGUGGCGAAGGCGGCCGACUAAAACGCGCCCGACGGUGAGGGACGAAAGCUGGGGGAGCGAACGGGAUUAGAUAUGAAGUUGAGUUUUUACCAGCUUCACUAGAAACCCCGGUAGUCC
rnacentral:rRNA from 1 species